rnacentral:rRNA from 1 species
GGAUUAGAUACCCUGGUAGUCCACGCCGUAAACGAUGUCUACUUGCAGCUCGGUUCGUAAGAACGGUUUUGCGAAGCUAACGCGUUAAGUAGACCGCCUGGGGAGUACGGUCGCAAGAUUAAAACUCAAAUGAAUUGACGGGGGCCCGCACAAGCGGUGGAGCAUGUGGUUUAAUUCGAUGCAACGCGAAGAACCUUACCAUCCCUUGACAUCCUGAGAAGUUAGCAGAGAUGCUUUCGUGCCUUCGGGAACUCAGUGACAGGUGCUGCAUGGCUGUCGUCAGCUCGUGCCG